CAACAGUACCUGAUGCAUUUC
rnacentral:miRNA from 1 species